rnacentral:rRNA from 1 species
GAUGAACGCUAGCGGCAGGCUUAAUACAUGCAAGUCGUGGGGCAGCAGGGGCGUAGCAAUACGCUCGCUGGCGACCGGCAAACGGGUGCGGAACACGUACACAACCUUCCUUUAAGUGGGGAAUAGCCCGGGGAAACCCGGAUUAAUACCCCGUAACAUAAUGAAGUGGCAUCGCUUUAUUAUUAUAGCUCCGGCGCUUGAAGGUGGGUGUGCGACUGAUUAGGCAGUUGGCGGGGUAACGGCCCACCAAACCUACGAUCAGUAACUGGUGUGAGAGCACGACCAGUCACACGGGAACUGAGACACGGGCCCGACUCCUACGGGAGGCAGCAGUAAGGAAUAUUGGUCAAUGGACGCAAGUCUGAACCAGCCAUGCCGCGUGGAGGAUGAAGGUCCUCUGGAUUGUAAACUUCUUUUAUCUGGGAAGAAAUCCAUGAAUUCUUUUGUGGUUGACGGUACCAGAUGAAUAAGCACCGGCUAACUCCGUGCCAGCCGCCGCCGUAA